AUGCUCUGUGUUUGCUCCUCUCCACAUUUCUGUGUGUGUGUGUGUGUGAUGAUGGGAGAAGAUAUUUCUGUGAGAAAAUGUCUUUUUAGAGUUCAUUUGUGUGUGUGGCAGUUUGUGUUUGUUUCAUUCAGCGUUAACACGGAGAACUGCAGCAGAGACCUCUGUUGUCGCAUUCCAUACUUGUGCAGGCAUGUGGAAAUGGACACACACAUGCACACACACUGCUUGUGUUUUAUCCCCUCAGGAAUCUGGAGGAAGGUGUCAGGCCCGUCUCUGGUCUAUCUCUGGCUCUGCAUACAAGCGCCUCUUCCUCCUCCAGGCUUCACCAUUAUCUCCCCUCCUUCCUCAUCCUCCACGUCUUCCUCUCUUUCCUCCCUCCACUCCACUUGGCCUACCCUAUCUUCUCUCCCCUUCUCAUUUCUUUCAAUUUCCAACCUCCCCCAGCUCUCUCUAUCUUACCUCUCCCCCCUCAUCUUUUUCUGAUGAUUCUUUCCUUCUCCUCUUUUCCCCUCUCCCUCCUGUCCUCCUUCAAGUCUUCCUUGUUAGCCUCUAAUUUUCUCAGCCUCUUUUACUCCCCGCUCACUUCGCUCUGCAACAAUAAAUUACGCACAAACUCAAUGUACAUCUCUUUGUUCUCCCCGCUAGAUAAUUCAAUUCAUUUUAGCCAGGCCCUGCAUUCUGAAUGAUGAAUGCAUUGACUAUGCAAUUAAACAGGGCCAUGCAUUAAAGCCCUCCUAGUGAGCGCAUGUCUUGCACAUACUCCCUCCAGGACCAACAUUCAAAUGUAAGUACAGAGGCAUGCAAGAAAGAGUAAUCCACCAAUUUUUCUCAUGUUGUUUUCUCAUUAGUAAAACACAUCUGCUGUUUUUCACUUAUUUUCGAAAACUCAUUGAUAUUGUGAGUGCAACAGUCAUUAAAGGGAUGCAACAGUGCAGGAUUUUCACACCUAAAAGGGGAAUGCUGAAUAACAGAUGCUGAUCUUCAGUUGUCUGCACACUGUUUGGGGUUUGCACCACUUUCCAGAGGUGACCCAACAGUCCUUGGAGCCAUUGGUGGGUGUCUUCUCCUGUGUCCUCCGUAUUUCGUUCUGCCUGUGGCUUCCUGUGGAGUGAUUAAUGCUUGCUCAACAGAAUCCAGUCGGCAUAUGCUCAUCUUUGCAUGUCAAGACAAGAGGGUGGUGUCAGUCAGCUUCUCAGAUGGAAUUACCUGACACUGGUGUGGGCAAGCCUGUGACUACGUGUGUAGAGCCCGCAUGGUUGGAUACCAGGAGUGUCCGAGGUGGUGUUGGAGUGACAUCGAGAUAAUGAUUGAGGCCAAAGUAAGAGUGAAAAAGGAGAGAACAGAGAGGAGAAGGUGACCAGAGUUCAAGGAGUCUUCAUUUCCUUCUUUAAGAGGAGAAGAGAGAUUUACACUGGCACCUGUGCUGCACAUUGUCUUGAAGACGAGCACCCACUUUAAAUGCUGCGGGAUUGUGGGAAGGCAGAACGUGAUUAAUGGGGCGUGUGUAAACAAAGCCCUUGAAACAAAAGCGAGAGUGUAAAGAAUAGAGAUAAGGCUCGACUCCAGUCAAGUUUGGCAUCAUCCCUCUUCCACUAACGACCUCUACUGUCGCCCAGUGAUGGUGGGGGCAACCAGGAAGAGGGGACCUCAGAAAAGAAAGAAAGAGGCUGAACGAAGACCUGACAUGCACAUUCAUGCUUUAAAUGAAAAGAGAUAAUUGUCAGAGGAACCGACCUGUCUUCAUUCUUUGGAUAAAUAAAAACGCAUGACCUGCCUGAAAUAUGGACAAUGCCAUUACUGAUUUAAUUUGAAUAGACUACUUGUUAUUGUGCGUCGCUGUGCUCGCCACAAAUGCUAAAACGGCUGACAUGAUUUAAAAACACCGUGGUCAAAUUUAAACUAAGCUCACUUUGUUGGAAAUAAAAACUCUAUGCAAAGCAGGUCGUUUGUGUCAAAUACAUGCAACGGUCCCAUCUCAGCACAGCGGACAGAAGUCUUCUGUUAGAGUUUGCCAUUACUCUUUGCUGAUCCUGCAUGAUUAUGAUGACAAUCAUAAAAGCAACCACUCUGGAGAUGAGCUGCACCAGUUCCACCAUCUUUUUUUUUCUUCUUUUCCAUCAGCUCCAGUGUGGUCAAGAGCGGUAAAACAUGUUUAGUAAGCACAAUAAAUCACACCAACAAGCUCUGGCUCUUUACAGCUGACAGCUUCAUUUGCACUUUUCAAUAUAAUGGUCUCAUACAGGUCUUAAUUUAGUAGAUUUGACAAAAGCAGACCAAUUAAUCUGAUUGAUUUCUCGCUAUGAUGUAAGCAUGCAAUAAUCAACAGUCUUGUUUACUGUCGAUUUAAAAAAUACAGCCUGUCAACCUGUGGCACAGCCUCCUGUUUACCCAAUGAUAUAAUGGAAGGAGAAGGCGUCUGUGUCCUCCCCUCCAAAUACUUUAGAUAAGCUAAGUUAGCCUCCCCUCUGCUCCAUCCAACACCCCCUAUCUGUGGGCAGGCUGUCUCAUUCCAAACAACAUCUCUCACCACAUACUGAGGGAGCUAAAUCAUUGAAAAUGCACCACACAGUUCUGAAGGCCCUGGAUGGAAUAAAGAAGAAGAAGUUCUGGCAAGAAGAAGAGUUUAGAAUAGGAGUCUGAGUCUGGAGCUGCAGCGUUAAUGUCGAUUGAACACAUUCGGGAGAAGUUGUCAUCUCCUGUCCUGUUAGUAAAGCAGUAAAACUUUGACAGGUUCAGAAACAGGUCAAGGAGAGGAAGGGAACUUUCUUAUCAACCACAAGCACAGAAACACCUUCAUACAGAGAAGAUGCUUCUGACUGUAUGUGUGGACCCAUGCAGCUCAGGCUAAGACUAUGUCACAUUUAGUUUUAGGUCUUCAAUCAUCAGGAAUCAUCAUGCGGAGCCUUAAAAGUCUGGACCAGAACCUCAAACUGAACUCUGUAUCAAACGGGAAAGCAAUAAAAAAGCCCAACAAAGAUGGACGAUGGGAAGAUCUUUGGAAGACUCUGUUAAAGCUCAGUAGCUGCAUUUGGACGAUCUACAUAUGUCAGGAGAGGUUUCAUUUCAGUUUUACCAUAAUAAAUAUAACCAAUGUGAAAUAAACCAAAACAUGAAUGCUCAUCUCAGCACUGGGUGAUAUAAUGCUCAUUUUACCAAUUUCUACAACUAAGAAAAACCUACAUACCGUAAUUUCCGGACUAUAGAGCGCACCUCAAUAUAAGCUAAAGGCCGCAGAUAUCUACUGAAUUGAAAACGUAGUUUAACUGAACGUAACUGAACUGAUCAGUAUCAAACAAAUAGUCGCUCCAAAGGGAUUAGCGGAGCUGACACGCGUUUAGCCAUCAGAGGCGAGGGGCUCAUGCGGCAACAUUACUACGAGUUUAAGCGCACCAGAAUCGAGUGUUAUCACCUUUCGCCUUUGCUCCUUGCCGCAUUUACGAGACUCACAAAUUCGGAUUUAUCACUCUGUAAUGACGCGAUGGUCUGUCUUAUAAAAGAGGAUACUGGGGAUCGAGAAGACAGAACACACACACACACACACACACACACACACACACACACACACACACACACACACACACACACACACACACACACACA
ensembl:lncRNA